rnacentral:rRNA from 1 species
GACGAACGCUGGCGGCGUGCUUAACACAUGCAAGUCGAACGGAAAGGCCUGCUUUCCCUUGUGGAUUGCGGGUACUCGAGUGGCGAACGGGUGCGUAGCACGUGAGUGUUCUGCCCCCAACUUGGGUAUAAGCCUGGGAGCCUGGGUCUAAUUCCCGAUAGGACUGCAGGGUGGUGCCUGUGGUGGAAGUCGUUUUUCUAGUUGUUGGUGAUGAGCUCGCGGCCUAUCAGCUUGUUGGUGGGGUAAUGGCCUACCAAGGCGGAGACGGGUAGCCGGCCUGAGAGGGUGGACGGCCACAUUGGGACUGGGAUACGGCCCAGACGCCUACGGGAGGCAGCAGUGGGGAAGAUGUGACAAAGGGCGGAAGCCUGAAGCAGCGACGCAGCGAGGGGGAUGACGGCAUUGGGGUUGUAAACUCCUAUCGACCGCGAGGAAGCCACCUGGCUGGAAGGGUGGUGACGGUAGUGGAAGAAGAAGCACCGGCUAACUACGUG